GGGGUAUUAGCUCAGCUGGGAGAGCACCUGGUUCGCAAUCAGGGGGUCGAGGGUUCGAGUCCCUUAUGCUCCA
rnacentral:tRNA from 1 species